CAAGCAGCUACCAGGCUAGAGGCAGCAGGGAAAUAAGCUACUCCAGGGUGAGAGGCCGUGCUCCUUCCCAUAGGGGAAACAGCCAAACCUGAGUGCCUGCUAGGGGAAGGACUGACACCCCAGGGCAACCAACAGGACGACACCCUGCACCAGCGAGGAAGCAGCGAAAGGAUGAAGAUAAACAGGGAGCCUCCUAAGUAUUAACUCUCCUCUGUGGGUAGCUGCUGCUGCUGUUUCGAGACCCAUGCAGUGGGGCCUGGAAGAUACAUUCCAAACAGCGCUCCUCCUCGUUCAGCAUGUGGUCCAGCUGCUCACUGCCAGCCUUCAGCUCCACUUGAACAGGUACGGCUGUCAUUGACAGGGUGACUUGGAGGUGUUUCUGCAGAGACUCCCGGAAC